UAGUACUAAAGAUAAGGUAAAAAUGCCUAUUACAACCAUUUUUUCUCUUUUAAAAACUAGAAGGCAAAAGAAAAUUUGGUUGAAACAAGUCAGUGAUUGGACAUUGAGGGAAAAAAACAGCUUUUUACGGUAGAUUUCAAAUUACAGAACAGAAUGUACCGUGUUGCUUCGAUUUGAAAAAUAUACAUGAAAACCACUCGGGGCAUUUCGUCAACUCUACUGAGCUACUGGCAUAGAGUGAAGUCGAGCUCCAAACAAAAGAAUGGUCUCGAGAAUAAUCCUCAACCAGCAAAACUCCACUUCUGAAACAUACCUGCUGGCAAACAAGCGCAAGUAUUGGAAUCACAAAAAGUAAUCUGGAGUCUUCCUUGUGGUGUCGGGCUCUAUCUGUCGAGGAGCUGGGUCAAACUGAAGGAAAUUCUGCUCCAUGUUUUCGCCUAUUUCUAGAAUGGCAGCCAUAUUACCACACCGGUAACAAUAGUUUGGAGCACUAAAUACUGUUACAACAUUCUUAUCCUGACACCAAUUAAAACCUUCCAUGACAAGCUGAUGGGCUCUAGAAAUCAGUGAGAGACCAUUAGUGUGAUUAAACUGAGAUGCUAUAUCCUGUCCAAAUGUGUAACCAGCCCCCCGAGGUGAUAUUCCCCAACCACAGCGAUCGUCUGGAUCAGACCAUAGGAGAUCACACAUCGGCCCUUCAUGUGGCACCUCUUGUAUACGGUCCAGUGCUCGGAUGUUAUCAAGUGUAUCAAGGGAUGGUGAGAGUCCUCCAUGCAAACAGAAUAUCUGACUCUCUAUGAGUGCCGUCAAUGGUAGAUAAUCAAAGAGAUCAGUGAAAUACUUCCAAACAUUUGCAUUGCCAUAUUUCCUCAAGCAUUCAUCAUAAAAACCAUACACUUGGGUGAUUUGCCGGCUUUCAUGAUUUCCCCUAAGAAUCGUGAUUCUAUCUCUAUAACGAACCUUCAGAGCAACCAAAAGUGUGACAGUCUCCA
rnacentral:misc_RNA from 1 species